AACAUAGAAAAACUCAAAAUAAACACAGAUCAUGACAUGUAGCCUGAUUGGGACUCUCUGUGGUUUUCUUUUAGCAGUGGCUUUGUGCCCGACACUCUUUCACAAAGUUGAACUAUUCAUCAUGAAUCUAAAAAGUUUUGAAACGAUCUGUCAUGGUUUCAUUUUAAACCCGGCGUUGUAUCAGGGAUGUGUGGACUCUGUGAUAAAUAUGUUUUCUGGAACUGAUCUGGUCCAACAGCUCCUAAUCACCUGCUGCACAUUCCCUCCUCCGGGAGCUCUGGACAUCAGGAGGAAUAUUCUGAAAGCCAAGCGGAGCAUGACAAGUUUUCAUGAGUUCCCAACUUGAAGGCUCUCUGGACUUUGUCCCCAGAAGGACACCGGGGAUUUUGGACUGUCACCAUGAGCCUGACGGAACAUCUCACCAGGCCUCGUUCCACCGGCUCCGUGAUUUCUCCACUUGUGAGCUGUGAUUGUGUGUCAAGUUGUCAAGCUGUUCAUUGGUGUGUGUGGUGAUUAGUUAUUGAAAAAAAAAUAAAAAAAUCAAACCCUCCUCUUCAGAGAAAUUGGUCUGAUGGUAGAUUAUGUAAAACCAUUUACAGUGUAUGACUUUAUGUCUUUACUCCCUUUUCCAGUCAUUGUUAACAACUGGAAUCUUUCAUCAUAUCCAGCCUGCUUUACUCUGGCUCACAAAUAAAAUACAAUCCAGAACAUUCUAAGGAGAGGCUCGCUGUACCAAAAUUAUUCAGAGAUUUAUUAGUUUUCCCACGGGGACGGGUCGGUUUAGAUUGCUCUUUCCCCUUCAGAGAACAGAACAGAAAAAUAUUCCAUUGUCUCUCGGUGGGAAAACUCAGCAGCAAUGUAACAGGCCAGCAGAAGCCAGAAGCCUGCAGACACACGCAAAGACAGCAAAGAUAACAGAAAGUAGACAAUAACACAUCGCAAAUGAAAUCAUUAUGUAAAAACGGCCUGUGUUUUCACACAGCUCAUCGUCAUCUGAUAUUAAAACGUGCUUAAAGAUCUAAAACAGUUCAACAGAAGAAAUAUUUAAAGGGGCAGUGUUAAAUAAAAUCGGCUUGUUUU